rnacentral:rRNA from 1 species
UACAGAGGGUGCGAGCGUUAAUCGGAUUUACUGGGCGUAAAGGGCGCGUAGGCGGUGAGAUGAGUGUGAUGUGAAAGCCCCGGGCUUAACCUGGGAAGGGCAUCACAAACGAUCUGACUGGAGUAGAUGAGAGGGUGGCGGAAUUUCCGGUGUAGCGGUGAAAUGCGUAGAGAUCGGAAGGAACGUCGAUGGCGAAGGCAGCCACCUGGCAUCAUACUGACGCUGAAGCGCGAAAGCGUGGGGAUCGAACAGG